CGGUCCAGACUCCUACGGGAGGCAGCAGUAGGGAAUCUUCCGCAAUGGGCGAAAGCCUGACGGAGCAACGCCGCGUGAGUGAUGAAGGUCUUCGGAUCGUAAAACUCUGUUAUUAGGGAAGAACAUAUGUGUAAGUAACUGUGCACAUCUUGACGGUACCUAAUCAGAAAGCCACGGCUAACUACGUGCCAGCAGCCGCGGUAAUACGUAGGUGGCAAGCGUUAUCCGGAAUUAUUGGGCGUAAAGCGCGCGUAGGCGGUUUUUUAAGUCUGAUGUGAAAGCCCACGGCUCAACCGUGGAGGGUCAU
rnacentral:rRNA from 1 species